CUGUCCUCCGAAUGCAGCACUAAACUGCAGAGAGAGUACAGGGAGAGCAGAUGAGGACCACAUCACAGAAAUCAGGGAAAGAAAAGGAAAAUCAUUUAAAUAAAACAUCUUGGAUAGCACUGAAAGGGAAAUACAGCAUCCAGGUCUUUUAGAUACUGACUUCUAUUUUUUUCUUCAAAUGGAAAAUUAGAGAAACCCACCAAGAGACUAGCUUUAGGUUAGGCACUGUGAGAAAAAAAAAGAAGCAGUCAAAUUCAUCCUCAAAGGGUUAAGGACGGAAGAGCGUAUACUUGUUAUGUACCCUCUAUAUGCCUGGUUCUCUGCUAGGAGUUGAUGGCAAAGCAGUGAAUUGGACAAAUAAAAUAGAAGCCAGCAUCCACAAGGGCACAGUAGUGGCCUACUCAGCAUGAAAUGAUGAGGAUAAUAACCUUUAUGAUGACCCACCUUCACUUGGAUCAAUGAUUA